rnacentral:rRNA from 1 species
CCUACGGGAGGCAGCAGUGGGGAAUAUUGGGCAAUGGGCGCAAGCCUGACCCAGCAACGCCGCGUGAAGGAAGAAGGUCUUCGGGUUGUAAACUUCUUUUCUCAGGGACGAAGACAGUGACGGUACCCCAGGAAUAAGCCACGGCUAACUACGUGCCAGCAGCCGCGGUAAUACGUAGGUGGCAAGCGUUAUCCGGAUUUACUGGGUGUAAAGGGCGUGUAGGCGGGGAAGCAAGUCAGAUGUGAAAUCCACGGGCUCAACCUCGGCCCUGCAGCUGAAACUGUUGGUCUUGAGUGCUGGAGAGGCAGGUGGAAUUCCUAGUGUAGCGGUGAAAUGCGUAGAUAUUAGGAGGAACACCAGUGGCGAAGGCGAUCUACUGGACAGCAACUGACGCUGAGGCGCGAAAGCGUGGGGAGCAAACAGGAUUAGAUACCCCGGUAGUC